UACGGGGGGUGCAAGCGUUAUUCGGAAUCAUUGGGCGUAAAGGGCGCGUAGGCGGCGUCUUAAGUCAGAUGUGAAAUCCCGAGGCUUAACUUCGGGCGUGCAUUUGAAACUGGGAUGCUAGAGUGCAGGAGAGGAAAGUGGAAUUCCUAGUGUAGCGGUGAAAUGCGUAGAGAUUAGGAGGAACACCAGUGGCGAAGGCGACUUUCUGGACUGUAACUGACGCUGAGGCGCGAAAGCGUGGGGAGCAAACAGG
rnacentral:rRNA from 1 species